rnacentral:rRNA from 1 species
CUCAACCGUGGAGGGCCAUUGGAAACUGGGAGACUUGAGUGCAGAAGAGGAGAGUGGAAUUCCAUGUGUAGCGGUGAAAUGCGUAGAUAUAUGGAGGAACACCAGUGGCGAAGGCGACUCUCUGGUCUGUAACUGACGCUGAGGCGCGAAAGCGUGGGGAGCAAACAGGAUUAGAUACCCUGGUAGUCCACGCCGUAAACGAUGAGUGCUAGGUGUUAGGGGUUUCGAUGCCCUUAGUGCCGAAGUUAACACAUUAAGCACUCCGCCUGGGGAGUACGACCGCAAGGUUGAAACUCAAAGGAAUUGACGGGGGCCCGCACAAGCAGUGGAGCAUGUGGUUUAAUUCGAAGCAACGCGAAGAACCUUACCAGGUCUUGACAUCCUUAUGACCUUUCUAGAGAUAGAGAUUUCCCUUCGGGGACAUA